UACGUAGGUGGCGAGCGUUGUCCGGAUUUACUGGGCGUAAAGAGCGCGCAGGCGGUCGUGCAAGUCGCGUGUGAAAGCCCCCGGCUCAACUGGGGAGGGUCACGCGAUACUGCUCGACUCGAAGGCAGGAGAGGGAAGUGGAAUUCCCGGUGUAGUGGUGAAAUGCGUAGAGAUCGGGAGGAACACCUGUGGCGAAGGCGGCCACCUGGGCCGACCCUGACGCUGAGGCACGAAGGCGUGGGGAGCAAACAGG
rnacentral:rRNA from 1 species